UUGAGAAGGUGAUAAAAGAAAGGAUACAACUUGAGUCCCAUCUCCACACGCUGAAGUAAAGAAGCAAUCUUACAUCAUGGAUAAACUUACUGGUUUACAGCUGAUGGGUCAAGUAAAGAGGUUCUGAAGAACUACAUCAACAAGGAAGCAACGCAGAAACCGAAACCUGACCCAACAUUCACUCAUGCCCAUUAAUUAUGCAAUUCAUUUUGUACUGAUGUAAGUAGAUCCUUAAUUGUGAAGUAACUUGUGUCUAGGGAAAAGGAGUGGAAGAGACUGUUACGUCCCUGUAGACAGCAGCUGAUGAUACAGUGAAGAGAUGGAGAGCAUGAGAGAUGCAAAGCCUCAAACAGUCUGAAAUUCAGGAGCAGCGGAGAUACCCGGGGAGAGGAGAAUACGGACCUCAGGAGAAGAAAUUAUUUUAGAAGCAUGUAUAUAUCUGAAUUUGACCCAUAUUUAUAUCUGACGGGACAUUGGACAUAAAAGGAAAUUUCUGUGAUGAGGAGUGGAAGGUUGUCAUCAGGCCAUGGAAAAAUCUCUUCACGAAUUCAUUACUUCCAUGUUGGAUUUCAGGAACAGAGGAAUGUAAGAUCAAACUAACUCAUAUGCUGCAACUCUUAAAGUAGCUUUUUUAAAAAAAGAGAAAUAAUAUCUCUCCUUUUUUUUAAAAAAAAUGUCUUGCACAGAGAGUUAUGAAAAGUUCUGGAUCAGAUUCUGUGGUCAGCAGCUCAAGCAGCUUAAUAUGGUUAAAAUAUGAUCAAAACUCCAGGUGAGAUUUUUCGAAAGAGAGUUCAGAUUCCUCCGUGUAUGUGUGUGUGCUCGAGUGGCUGCAGCAUGACAAACACCCAACCAGCAAUGGCUAGCGUUAUGAAACGGCUGAAAUGGAGGAUAGUGACAACCUUCUUCGGGGCAGAACUCCAGCUGAACCACAGUGAAACAUCACCGUCACUGCAGAAUUAAUUACACUGUGCCGGUCAUUGUAAACGUGACACUUAAUACCAAAUUAUAGAUGCUAUUCGAAAGAAUAGUAUCCUGGCUUUAGACUACCUUGGUCUGAGCUCUGCCUCUGGUAACCUUCUGUAUGAGAUGCACGUAAGAUAUAUAUGUAUAUACGAGGCUGGCAACAACAGUCCACCGGGUCUGAACAUCUCCCGUGAGUCCGGGAAGGCAAACAGCAUUUGAACAGGCAGCAGCCCAGCAACUAACAAACAGGACGUUACUCUGCAUCUCAUAAAUCUCCGUGAAGUUCAUUUAUUCUCUUCUGCGAAAGAAUAACUAUAUGCGAAGCCUCUUCUUGCCAGUUAUUGUAGCACUAGACAAAGCGAUUUAGAUGUGGAAGCUGCUAUUAAUAGCAGCGAACAAGCUACUAAUUGGAUUGUUAUGUAAUGGCAUUGUUGUGAAACCGACUUUGGGUUUGACACCUUCUGUUUUCUAAAAACAACAUUAAAAACCCCAAACAAAUCCAUGAUUAGCAGUACGUACCAUGAAACAAAGAAUAAAUAAUUACCAAUCUCUCAAAAAUCAAAUAGGAUUAAAAAGGGGAGAAAAAAAAAUCCAUUUUUUCUGUAUUCUAAUAGAAAUGAGGUGGAAGUGAAUCAUUCAAGAGAUCUGCUGUUCAAAGGGAUACUUUAAAGUAAAUUUCUUUAAUACCUGCCCUGCGAAUACUGACAAAGAAUUCAGUGUCCUGUUUCUGCAACUUGUGAAAUCUCAGAAAGAUUUUUUUCUAGCAAAAAAAAUGGGCUUUGAAUGAGUACAAACAGAAUAUUUAGGGAGGAAGAGCGACCAGGAAAGAUCUCUGUGACACGCGCUGAUGUAAAUCACGUGCUAGGAUUAGGCAUGGAUCUCUACUUUUGUAAAUGACAAUACAGAUGUACCUAUGCAAUUUGACAUUUUUUAAGCAACUUAAAAAAAAAAAAAAAAAGGAAAAAGAAGAGAGAAAUAAAUGGGGAUGGCAUUUUUGUUCCCUGCCAUACAGAAGGAGAGAAAAUUGCACUCCAUUAAGAGAGAAGCUUUUAUCUGGGGUGGCCCUUUGCAGUGCCUCUAUUCUUGGUUGUUCUGGAGGCCGGAGAAUCACUAAUGCAACGUACAGCACCAGGAACUCCUCUUCCUCAUGAAACCUAACUACCGUCCUCUAGUGAGGUUAUUUUCCUUUUGAUACAUCAAACGCAGCAGCAUACAGAGCCUAUAAGAAGCAGGAUCCCUCCAGAGGUUUCUAGUUAUAUGUAUGCAAUAGUAUUUGAAGGCAUGAAAAUUCUUGGUCAACACUGCACAGCUCUAAUGCCUCUUGGUUUAAUCUUUGACCUUGAAAUUACCUCUCAACACGCACAGUGCCAGCAACUGUUGUUUGAUCAGCGUUAUCUAUAACCUUUUGUUGCCGAGGUAAAUUAAGGCUGUCACUCCAGAACUACUUCCUUAAUGAAGGAGCCCGGGAUUCUCACACAAGCAAUCCAAUGAACGCUUCAGCUGCCUGUCUACAAACACACAUCCUCAAGCCCGUGCAGAGAGAUACAUGAAGUUGCUUCCAAUUGAGUCACCUCUUAAACUUCAGGAAGCUAUGAGAGCGGUAGCAGCAGCGUGGGAGGAAAGCAGGGUGCGGUGGCAGCAUCGUGACCCGCACGUAAAGGAAUUUAGCCCCUGACACAGAGAAGGGGUACAGCAGCGUGCGCUGCCCUGCAGGAGCCAGGCACAGCCUGCGUACACACACCAUCACAUGGAUCGCCUCUGUCAUCUGCGGCAGUCUUGCAGCUGUGAUAGACCCUCCAGUUGCAACCUGCUCGCCGUAUAUACUGCUGAUCACUGUCCUUCCCAGGGUAUGGCAACCCAAGCUUUUUCGUUGAAUCUCGGAAACAAUGGGGUGUCCAUCCCACCCGAACCUGACUCAUCUGGUUAGAUGUCCCACUGUGAAAUGCCUCUCCAUUUCAGCAAGGGGAUGGUGAAGGACCCAAGUGUAAGCAAGAAGCAAGCGCUCUGCGCUUUAACGUACACCUGGAGAGAAGAUCUCAGCCUCCUUCACUUCCUCGAUGCUCUUUAGAUCCAGCCCACAGCCACCUUUGCGGCCAGUUCAGGGACGUCUGUUGUGCAUUAUCAAUGUGAGCCUCUGCGGAAAAACCGAUGAUACUUUCAAUGCGCUGUUAAGGAGGCAUUUGGAUCUCAUUUUAAAUCAACAAGGUAGGGAUAUUUUAUCGAUCGAAUUACAGUUUUUCAGCUUUACUGCAAUAAUGUACCUGUAACUGCUUCAAGGUUUUCAAUCAGUUGUCCCAAGGCAAUAAGCGCUUUGCCACAAGAAUACGUGCAACCUUGGGAAGGACCGAGGAUUUCUGUUCAAGACCAUCUGGUCAUAAAGCCUGUAUUUAUCUAAACCCAGGAUUACUCAGGUUUUCAGGCCAUUUUCUGUCUAGACCUCUGCUGUAAAUGGCUGUUGCAUUUGUUCACGAACUAAAUAUACAGUAUUCCUAGCAGUCCUCGUAACGAGAAGUCUACGCGAAUGACCUUUUGAAAGCUCUCCGACUCCUUCAAAACAUAAGCAAAAUGAAAAGCUGUAUUUGCAAGAUCAGAAAUAAAAUGAAAACCUCACUUUGGCUGCCUAAACAUAAAGCCACGUGAAGCAAAGACCUUGCUGAACAGAAAACUCUUAAAAUAAAUACCAUUUCCUUCACCACUAUAAAUGUUGUUUCAGAUUCUGAAGUUGAAUAUAUCCCUCGUCCCUCUGAGCUGUAACGUUCUGUUAAACUGCAGGAACUUUAGGGGAACAGCUCUUCAAUGUCUUACAGACUCCAACUGCUUACAGCUCUCUUAAAAAAAAAAUUCUGCAGAAGAGAAACACACCCUGGAAUAUUUUUUAAGCUUUUUUUCCUGUUGUUUAUUCUUGAGAUCUGAAUUUCUGCAUCCAGUUGAUCAGCCACAGAUUAAUUGUUUCUGUGGUCUUAAUAGAAACCUGAAGCUCUGACCAGCUUUUCGAAGUUAACCUCGUGGGCCAGAUCCUUGGCUGCCAUUCUGGCUGCUUUGGUCUGCUCGGGAGGAAUUUGGAGAACGUAUGGAGUGCUCAAAGCGAGCUACACAUUAUGGUUUUGUUCCAGCUUGAGAGUUAACAACUUUUAAGAGAUGAUUGUUGUAACAAGAAAAAAAACCCUCUGAACUGAAGUGUUUCCAAGCUAUUCAUCACUUCCGCAGUAUGUCUCCUUAUGGAAAUUCUCCAAGUCCUGUGAUACUGAGCUUGUAAACAAUUAUUUUCUUUCCGUAGCUCCCAUAAUAAAAUUAACGUGUGGUAUUUCUGUCAGAACUCCUUGGCCCCUUCUCGGACUUUUUUUUUUUUUUCACAGAUUGGGAAAUGGGAAAAAACCCAAAUGGAUUUUAAAAAAAAAAUAAUCUCCAUUUGGAUCAUGCAUUCUUAUGUCACUAAAAAACCCUGCAACAACAACAGCAAGAAAAGAAAGUGAAUUGACUUUACUGAACGUUUUUUGAUUAAAUAAUAAAUGUAUGGCAGAGUACUAA